rnacentral:rRNA from 1 species
GACGUAGGGCGCGAGCGUUGUCCGGAUUUACUGGGCGUAAAGGGCGUGCAGGCGGUCUGUUAAGUGCAGGGUGAAAGCUCCCGGCUCAACUGGGAGAGGUCCUUGCAUACUGGCGGACUUGAGGGGGGUAGAGGAAAGUGGAAUUCCCGGUGUAGUGGUGAUAUGCGUAGAUAUCGGGAGGAACACCUGUGGCGAAGGCGGCUUUCUGGGCCCUACCUGACGCUGAGACGCGAAAGCGUGGGGAGCGAACCGG